rfam:Ictidomys tridecemlineatus contig133392, whole genome shotgun sequence.
GUGGUUGUGGCUCAGUGGUAGAGUGCUCGCCCAGCAUGCGUGAAGCACUGGGUUCGAUCCUCAGCACCACA